rnacentral:rRNA from 1 species
AUUGAACGCUGGCGGCAGGCCUAACACAUGCAAGUCGAGCGGAGCGGCGGACGGGCGAGUAAUGCCUAGGAAUGUGCCCGGUAGUGGGUGAUCACGUCCGGAACCGGGCGCUAAUACCACAUACUAUCAUCCGAGACUGGGUCGGAUUAGCUAGCUGGUGGGGUAUAGGCCUACCAAGGCGACGAUCCGUAACUGGUCUGAGAGGAUGAUCAGUCACACUGGAACUGAGACACGGUCCAGACUCCUACGGGAGGCAGCAGUGGGGAAUAUUGGACAAUGGGAGAAAGCCUGAUCCAGCCAUGCCGCGUGUGUGAAGAAGGUCUUCGGAUUGUAAAGCACUUUAAGUUGGGAGGCGUUACCAACAGAAUAAGCACCGGCUAACUUCGUGCCAGCAGCCGCGGUAAUAC